UAAUACUCCCCCUAGUGGAGUUCUGGAAUUACAAGUGCCUCGGAACAAAUUUUAUUUGGACUAUCUGCUGCUUUGUUAUUUACACUUUGGAACUGUCCUUCCCAUGGGACAAUAUAUAAUUUGACCUUGACUCAUAGACAGGUGUGGAAUGAGUGGCCAACCGAAAACAAGAUCUGCUAAAACGAAAGCAAGACAAGCCCAACUUGUGCAAACAACUUUGACUACUCAGUCACGUAGAUCAUCUGUCCCAGCUGUUUUGGGAGUACAAGAAAAGGAAACUGCACGGCCUGCAUCAGAGGAUAUGGCGGAGGGAGGAUCGGAUACCUUCUUAAAACAAAUGCUAGAACAAUUUGCAAUAUUGAACAAGAAGGUGGAUGACCAAUCGGCAAAAAUAGACCAAGCCACAUCCUCUAUUACUAAAUUAUCUGACCAAGUUGCACAACAUACACAAGUUAUUGGGAAUCUCAAGGAAGCAACUGUGGAAAAUCGGAGACUGGCUGAAGCAGCCAAUGAAAAAGCAGAACAAGCAAAUCAAAAAGCUGAGGCUAUAAAAGAAGAGGUAAGGCCACUACACAAGCACGUUAGCGACCAGCAGGCCUACCUGUCUAUGGUGGAAUUGAGAAACCGGGAAAAUAAUCUGAGAUUAAGAGCUAUCCCAGAGCUUGAACAGGAAGAUUUAAUUGGUUAUCUGACAGCAGAAUUUUCUAAGUUCUGGGGUAUAGAAGAGGACAAAGAUUUUAAGAUUACAACUGCGUUCAGAUUAGGAAGAGUCGUGAGGAGGGACAAGCCCAGAGACUGUUUGAUUAUUUUGAGAUCCAAGCAGGAGAGAGAUAAAAUACUAGGCCUCCACUUUAAGAAAUCACUUGAUAUCCAAGGCAAAAGAGCAGAACUUUAUAGAGAUAUUCCUAAACAACUUUUGGAUCUCAGAGCUACAUAUACAGACUUAGCAAGACUACUGAGAGGAAACGCGAUUCCAUAUAGGUGGGAGUUUCCCCAAGGUUUAUCUUUUAAUUUUAAAGGAAAGAAAAUUAAGAUUAAAACAUCAGAAGAUAACCAGAAGUUCCUGCACGACCACGGAGAAGACCUUCAGAAGGGAGCAGCAGCCUCCUGGCCACCGCCACUGCCUGGAAUAGCACCGACACCUACACCCUCGGGGCCAGAAGAAAAGGAAGACACCCCACUAUAGGAACAACAGAUUGAUUCAGAAUGUCUCUGCAGCUGUACAGUUGGAAUAUAAAUGGCGGGAAUUCCCGGAAAAAGACGAAGGAUUUUUCAUAUUUUGAAAAAGAACAAUUGGAUAUUGUUUGCUUGCAGGAAACGCAUGUGACUAGGCUCCAUAGGAAAGUGUUAAUCAAUAAAAGACUAGGCCAAGAAUUUAUUUCAUCAGACAAAGUCAAGAAAAGAGGCGUAGUGAUUUAUGCAAAGGAGAACCUGUCACCGAAACUUCUGUUUAAAGAUGAGCAAGGAAGAAUUUUGGCAAUUGAGAUACAAACACAAGGAGAAAAGUUUUUGAUUUUAGGAAUAUAUGCACCAAAUGAGGGGAAAUCGGAAUUUUACAAGAAGCUGCAUGAGAUAAUGCUGGACUAUCUGGACUAUACUAACAUCAUAAUGAUGGGUGAUAUGAAUGGGGUGGUUUCUACUCACAUGGAUAAGUCACAAAAUCAAAAUUUAACUAAAGACGGCAGACUACCUAAAACCUUCUUUGAACUAACUGACAACAUGGACUUGAUUGAUAUUUGGAGGACAAGGAACCCCUUAGGUAAAGAAGGAACAUUCUUUUCUGAGGCCCACCUAUCAUGGACAAGAAUCGACCAAAUAUGGACAACUAGAGGACUGGCACCUAAGAUCAGAAAAGUGGAAAUCUGUCCAAAGACUUGCUCCGACCAUAAUGCUUUGAAAGUGGAAUUGAGACUUACUCCAACCGGUUCUUUCAGAUGGAAAAUGAAUGACACCCUACUAAGAGAUCAGGAGAUUGUGAAGAAGGCCCAAAAAACUUUAAAGGACUAUUUUGAAAUUAAUUUGAACACUUCGGUGGAAAAGAGAACAAUUUGGGAUGCAAGUAAAGCUGUAAUGAGGGGGUUUCUGAUACAACAGAACACAAUCAAGAAAAACUUUGGAAUGGAAAAAAGACAGGAUAUUAGAGAAGAUAAGAGAAGGAGAGAAAAAUUGAGACUAAAACCAAAAUCAAAAGAGGUUUUAAGAGAAAUCAAAUUCCACCAAGCUCAAUAUGCGAAAUUGAUAAAUCAAGAAGUGGAAUGGAAAAUUAAACAAAUGAAACAAAGAUCAUUUGAAUCGGCAAAUAAAUGUGGAAAACUGCUAGCAUGGCAGUUGAAAAAGAGACAAAAAUUGAACUUUGUCACUAAUCUAGAGGUGGAAGGGAGAAACAUUCAGAAACCAGAAGAAAUUAGAAAGUGUUUCCAGAAAUAUUUCAAAAACUUUAUACACAAGGGCCUCAGGAAAUGUCUGAGAUAGAUCAAUUUUUAAAAGUUAACGGUUUAUCAAAACUAUCUCAGGAGAAGAGGACAAUCUUAAAUAAUAGAAUAACACAACAGGAAAUAGAGGGUGCCAUUCAGAAUAUGCAACUAGGCAAAUCUCCAGGCCCAGAUGGACUUACCUCCAAGUAUUAUAAGACACUAAAAGACUAUUUGAUACAACCACUAAUGGAGGUCUGUAACCAGAUUAUGGAGGGGAGGAGGGCACCGGAAACGUGGAAAGAAGCUUUCAUCACAUUGAUUCCUAAAUUGGAAUCUGAAAAGACUCAGCUUAAGAACUACCGUCCCAUCUCACUCCUAAAUGUGGAUUACAAAAUUUUUGCUGAUAUUUUGGCGAGCAGACUUAAAAAAUACUUAAUGAAGUAAUUCAUAAGGACCAGGCAGGCUUUCUCCCAGGGAGACAUCUCUUUGAUAAUACUAGGAACAUUAUUGAUAUUUUGGAACUUUUACAAACUAAUAUCAAUACGAAAGCUGUUUUAAUUUUCAUUGAUGCGGAGAAGGCCUUUGAUAAUAUUUCUUGGAUGUUUAUGAAGAGAAAUUUGGAAGGGAUGGGAGUGGGACGGGGGUUUGAAAAUGGAAUAGAAGCAAUUUAUUUUGAGCAAAAAGCUAAACUGAUAGUGAACAAUGUGGUGACAGAUGAGUUCAAAAUUGAAAAAGGGACACGACAAGGGUGCCCCUAUCCCCUCUUUUAUUUAUUUCAGUCCUGGAGGUGUUAUUGAACAUGAUUAGGAAGGACCGGUUGAUACAAGGAAUACAGGUCGGAGCGAAACAAUAUAAAUUGAAAGCUUUUGCAGAUGAUUUGGUUUUAACAUUACAGGAGCCAGAAUCUAGUACAAAAAGAGUAUUAGAACUGAUUCAUGAGUUUGGUCGGGUGGCGGGAUUUAAGUUGAAUAAGCAAAAAACCAAGGUUUUGGGGAAAAACUUGACACCUUCAGAAAUAGAUGGGUUUCAGAAGGAAACAGAACUAAGUGUGGUAAAAAAGUGAAAUACCUAGGGGUUCACCUGUCAGCGAAAAAUUUGAAUUUAUUUAAAGACAACUAUGAAAAAUGUUGGCUGGAAAUCAAAAAGAUUUGGAAAUCUGGUCAAGAUUGAAACUUUCCUUGUUGGGUCGAAUUGCAGCUAUAAAAAUGAAUGUAUUGCCGAAAAUGUUAUUUUUGUUCCAAACCCUACAGAUUGUGGACAGAGUGGAAUGUUUUGGAAAGUGGCAGAAGGAUAUAUCCAAGUUUGUUUGGCAGGGCAAAAAGCCCCGGAUAAAGUUUAAAAUACUAACUGAUUCGAAAGAAAGAGGGGGGUUUGCCCUGCCGGACCUGAGAUUAUAUUAUGAAGCUGCGGCCUUCUGCUGGAUGAAAGAUUGGUUACUUCUUGAGAACACUGAUGUCCUAGAUCUGGAAGGGUUCGAUAACGCUUUUGGUUGGCAUGCAUAUUUGUGGUACGACAAGGUAAAGGUUCAUAAAAUGUUCAAAAAUCAUAUUGUUAGAAAAUCAAUAUUUAUGGUCUGGACAAAAUACAAGGACUUAUUAGAAGGUAAGACUCCGAGGUGGCUUUCCCCAGCAGAGGCCAAGGCCCGGAAAAACCUAAUAUGGAGGUUGGUUGGCCGAAAUAUGGGGAAAUUAUAGAAAAGUAGGAGAAACUUGGAGGCUGCAGAGUUAUGAAAAAUUAAAGAAUAAGGUGCAAAAUUGGCUUCAUUAUGCUCAAAUUCAAGAGGUUUUUAAGUUGGACAAAAGAACAGGCUUCCAGGUGGAAAAAUCGAAACUAGAGACAGAAUUGUUGGAACCAAAAACCAAGGUACUUUCGAGAAUGUAUACCUUGCUGCUUAAAUGGAACACUCAGGAUGAGACAGUCAAAUCAGCCAUGAUAAAAUGGGCUCAGGACAUUGGGUACAACAUUAUGUUUGAAGACUGGGAAAGGUUAUGGACCACUGGUAUGAAAUUCACGGCAUGUAAUGCCUUGAAAGAGAAUAUUAUGAAAAUGAUAUACAGGUGGUACAUGACCCCAGUCAAGCUUGCUAAGAUAUAUCACUUGUCUGAUAAUAAAUGUUGGAAAUGUAAGGAGGCUGAAGGGACAUUCUUUCACCUCUGGUGGACUUGCCCAAAAGUGAAGGCCUUCUGGGAAAGGAUCUAUAAUGAGUUAAAAAAGGUGUUUAAGUACACCUUUCCCAAGAAACCAGAGGCCUUCCUACUGGGCAUUGUCGGCCAGAAGGUGUUAAAGAAGGAUAGAACCUUUUUUAUGUAUGCAACUACAGCAGCAAGAAUUCUUAUCGCAAAAUACUGGAAGACUCAAGAUUUACCCACACUGGAAGAGUGGCAGACGCAAUUGAUGGGCUACAUGGAAUUGGCCGAGAUGACUGCCAGGAUCCGAGAUUUGGGAGAAGAAGCAAUGGAGGAGGAUUGGAAAAAAUUUAAAGAUUAUUUACAAAAAUUUUAUAAGUUAUAUGAAUGUUAAGAAUUCGCAUGAUUAGGGAAAUUCAGCUCCAGCAAUAAGAUUAAGGUAUGGGAAACUAAGCUAUAUUAAUGAAAGGACUAAUGUUUAAAAGAACAUUAUAUAUGUUAUUAGUGUAAAUUGACAAUAAGCAUUUUAAACGUAAACCAUAAGUAUUUGAAAGAACAAAAGAAUGCACAAAAUAAGGUUAUAAUUUGCUGAAAAAUUUUAUUGUAAAGAACGCAAGGUGAGGGAGACGUGGGGAAGUCCGGUUGGUUAUGGAAAAAUGCUUUGGAAAGAUGAUUUUUUUCUUUUUUUUUUUCUUUUUUGUUAUUUCUUUGUAUAUCCGACUUUGUAUUUCUAUGUGGAAAAAAUGCAAUAAAAAUAUUU
rnacentral:lncRNA from 1 species